UACAGAGGGGGCAAGCGUUGUUCGGAAUUACUGGGCGUAAAGGGCGCGUAGGCGGCCGCUUAAGUCGAACGUGAAAUCCCCGGGCUCAACCCGGGAACUGCGUCCGAUACUGGGUGGCUUGAAUUCGGGAGAGGGAUGCGGAAUUCCAGGUGUAGCGGUGAAAUGCGUAGAUAUCUGGAGGAACACCGGUGGCGAAGGCGGCAUCCUGGACCGACAUUGACGCUGAGGCGCGAAAGCCAGGGGAGCAAACGGG
rnacentral:rRNA from 1 species